GUAAUUAUGAUCUAUACAGAAUCAUGCUCUACCAAAUCAUUGUGAAAUUGUUGUAAUGUUGGCUAAGUACUGUUUGAACAUUUUAUAUCAUAUCAAAUCACUGCCUUCAUUUUAAGAGAAAGGACCAGGUAAGGUUGUAAAGUUCAGCAAGAUUUUUUUUUUUGGGGGGGGGGGAUACAAGAUAAAUUUACAGUUGUAUGUAUGUGAUAUGAAAUGUCUCAUAGAAAAUGGUGACUGUUACUGGUUAUCAUUUGUGUUGAACAAAUCAAUCAUGCAUAAAUAAAUUUACAAAACUUUCUAAUAAUUUUGAUUCAGUCUACUUGAUUUUUGUGUGGACCAAUUUAUGUUUAUUCUCAUGAUAGAUUUCCUGUAUUUAGCAUAUCUAUCAAACACAAAAAUUUUAUAUUUAUAUACACUUCAUAGAAGUAUACAUAUGUGAAUGAAUGAAUAGUUUAUUUUAUUUUUAGUUAAAAUAUGUUCUCUUCUAUGAUGCUAUUGAUCAACUAGGCCUAAAUAGAUAAGCAGUUUUGUUUUUUGGUUUCCCUACAAAUCCUGAAAUAUAAUCUCUGACAAACUAUUUUUAACAACUGUUUCCCUGAAAGAAUCAUAUUGUGUUCAUUCUCAUCUUUGUCUUUUCAGUGUAAAUCAAGGAAACGCUCUUACCAUCCGAUCUGAAAUUAAGUAUCUUUGGGAUGUUUUAUGAGGGACCAUCUGACUGGCCAUUUUAGAAAAUAAUAUUAAAAUGAUAAAAUGUUCUCCCAUAUUUGAUCCCAUAUUUUAUGUUCAAGUAGGAAUAGGAAACUCACUUAUUUUGGCCUUAUAUUUACAGCUGCAUGUAGAUCAUUUUAGGUUGUGAUUUGACAUGAAAAUGCGAAAGGUGUAUUUUUUGUUAGUUUUGUUUAUCUGAAAAGAAAUAAAAGGAG
rnacentral:sRNA from 1 species